GACGAACGCUGGCGGCGUGCCUAAUACAUGCAAGUAGAACGCUGAAGGAGGAGCUUGCUUCUCCGGAUGAGUUGCGAACGGGUGAGUAACGCGUAGGUAACCUGCCUGGUAGCGGGGGAUAACUAUUGGAAACGAUAGCUAAUACCGCAUAGCAGUAGAUGUUGCAUGACAUUUGCUUAAAAGGUGCAAUUGCAUCACUACCAGAUGGACCUGCGUUGUAUUAGCUAGUUGGUGAGGUAACGGCUCACCAAGGCGACGAUACAUAGCCGACCUGAGAGGGUGAUCGGCCACACUGAGACUGAGACACGGCGCAGACGCCUACGGGAGGCAGCAGUAGGGAAUCUUCGGCAAUGGACGGAAGUCUGACCGAGCAACGCCGCGUGAGUGAAGAAGGUUUUCGGAUCGGAAAGCUCUGUUGUAAGAGAAGAACGAGUGUGAGGGUGGAAAGUUCACACUGUGACGGUAUCUUACCAGAAAGGGACGGCUAACUACGUG
rnacentral:rRNA from 1 species